CGGGGAGUAGUAUAGUGGUAGUACACCUGCUUUGGGAGCAGGCAGCCCGAGUUCGAAUCUCGGCUCCCCGA
rnacentral:tRNA from 1 species